rnacentral:snRNA from 1 species
GUUCUCGCUUCAGAGGCACAUACAAUAAAAUUGGAAUGAAACAGAGAAGAUUAGCGUGGCCUCUGCGUAAGGAUGACACGCAAAUUCGUGAAGCGUUUAAGGAAAAA